rnacentral:rRNA from 1 species
GCGACCCCAGGAUGGGCGAGGCCACCCGCCGAGUUUAAGCAUAUCAAUAAGCGGAGUAGAAG